UACGUAGGGUGCAAGCGUUGUCCGGAAUUAUUGGGCGUAAAGAGCUCGUAGGCGGUCUGUCACGUCGGCUGUGAAAACCCGAGGCUCAACCUCGGGCCUGCAGUCGAUACGGGCAAACUAGAGUACUGCAGGGGAGACUGGAAUUCCUGGUGUAGCGGUGAAAUGCGCAGAUAUCAGGAGGAACACCGGUGGCGAAGGCGGGUUCUCUGGGCCUUACCUGACGCUGAGGAGCGAAAAGCGUGGGGGAGCAAACAGG
rnacentral:rRNA from 1 species